rnacentral:sRNA from 1 species
CUGUGCACCUGCCAUCCAUGCCACCCCCGGAGCCCCAGCAGACACCCCAGGUUUAAACGGAACCUGCAGCGUUUCCAGUGUUCCCACGUCCACGUCGGAGACGCCUGACUACUUGCUGAGGUACGCAGCCAUCUCCUCUUCGGAGCAGCGCCAGAGCUACAAGAACGACUUCAAUGCCGAGUACAGCGAGUACCGCGACCUGCACGCCCGCAUUGAGCGCAUCACGCGGCGGUUCACCCAGCUCGACGCCCAGCUCCGGCAGCUCUCCCAGGGCUCCGAGGAGUAUGAGGUAGAGCCCCCCCGCUGCCUACUGUGCCCUGGCUCUGGCAGGAGCCAGGGCCCACUUGGGCGCGCACCAUCGCCACCACGAGCCUAGUGGCCUGCUUGGUGGCCCCAGAGUCUGGCCCUUCCCCAGGCAGUGCUUCUCCCCCUGGUGCACUCCAUGCAGCAACCCCAUGGUUCUG